CGGGGGAGGCCGGAUCCUGGGCUGUGUCCCGGCGCCCUGUGCUCUGGAGCCUGCACCUGGUGGAUUCCGAGCCGCUCCCGCCUCGCAGCCCCCU
rnacentral:pre_miRNA from 1 species